GACGUAGGGCGCGAGCGUUGUCCGGAUUUAUUGGGCGUAAAGAGCUCGUAGGCGGCUCGUUGCGUCGGCUGUGAAAACCCACAGCUUAACUGUGGGCCUGCAGCCGAUACGGGCGAGCUAGAGUUCGGUAGGGGAGACUGGAAUUCCUGGUGUAGCGGUGAAAUGCGCAGAUAUCAGGAGGAACACCGGUGGCGAAGGCGGGUCUCUGGGCCGAUACUGACGCUGAGGCACGAAAGCGUGGGGAGCAAACAGG
rnacentral:rRNA from 1 species